rnacentral:lncRNA from 10 species
CAACUGCUUGUGGUGAGGCCUCAGGAAGCUUACAAUCAUAGAGGAAGGCAAGAGGAGCUGGCUUGUCACAUGGAGUGGAAUGUGGAGGUUUGAGAAGCAUCUACAGUUUGAAGCACAAUAUCAGCAAUAUUAUCAGCAGAAAAACAUCAACAGGAUUGUGAGAUGAAGUAUUUGUCUGCAAUCUGUAAUGCCUCAAGCCUUGCUACUCUUUCAAGCGUAGCCCUUGGACUAGCAGCACUGAUGUUACCAGAAGUUUUGAGAAAUUCAGCAUCCCCAGUUCUACCUCAGACCUACCAUAUUAGAAUUUGCAUCUUUAAUAAGAUUCCCAGGAAACAUAAUCACUGGUGCACCAUACGUCCCUCCUUGAGUGACCUUGAUGACACAGUGCAGAAACAUCUGUCAUUUGUAGCCGGAUCUGUUUGCUAUUGUAAUUUUACAAACUGCCAAUAAGCCUCGAGGGCCUGGAACCAGAGCUGUCUUGAGAUGAAUGUGACCUAUGAGAAGCAGGCUUUUCCAGGUAGGAGAAAGACGAUAUUCCCCCUGGCAAAGGGAGCUCAUGCCUGUUUGAUUAUGAAGCAUAUACAUUAUGUCACUGGAAAUAAGGAGGGGUUAGUAGAAGCUCCAGAAAGGAGUCUCCAGCUAGGUAUGUUGAUUGGCUAGCAUUGAGCGGUAGCUUCAACUUACCUGGGACACAAAUGGCUUACGAGAUGGAACGUGAACUCUAUGGCCAAAAACAUUUGAUUUUCAUUAAAGGUGGCCACAGUGUGUUAACUUAAUAGAAAGUCGCCGGUGAUUGUUUUCCAAAGGACACACCUGGGGGUGGGAGUGGAGGACAUAAAUGUAAUAAUGUAUAGAUGGCCAAUUAUAAGAUGUUUUGAGUUGCUGACUGCCUAAAAACAUUCAUUCAAUCACAUUGGUUCAUAGAAUUACACAAAGAAUUAAAAGCCUGCUGCUCUGGGGGUGUCUCAGCUGGACAACCCACAAAAGCUAUGCCUGGCCAAUCAGAAUGUGAAAGGAGGAGGUGGCAGUGGCAGUGAUAGCAUUUCACUUCCUACUGUGGCAGGGUCCAUUCCUUUAGAUUUAGCUUUCAAAUAACAACCUCUCUGGCUCCUCACCUGGCC